rnacentral:rRNA from 1 species
GCUUGCAAUCCGCUGACGACCGGCGCACGGGUGCGUAACGCGUAUGCAACCUACCUUCUACAGGGGGAUAGUCAAUAGAAAUGUUGAAUAAUACCCCAUACGAUCUUUGAAUAGCAUUAUUUAAAGAAGAAAGCUCCGGCGGUAGAAGAUGGGCAUGCGUCCUAUUAGUUAGUUGGUAAGGUAACGGCUUACCAAGACUUCGAUAGGUAGGGGUCCUGAGAGGGAGACCCCCCACACUGGUACUGAGACACGGACCAGACUCCUACGGGAGGCAGCAGUGAGGAAUAUUGGACAAUGGAGGCAACUCUGAUCCAGCCAUGCCGCGUGCAGGAAGACUGCCCUAUGGGUUGUAAACUGCUUUUAUACAGGAAGAAAUAUACCUACGUGUAGGUAUUUGACGGUACUGUACGAAUAAGGACCGGCUAACUCCGUGCCAGCAGCCGCGGUAAUACGGAGGGUCCGAGCGUUAUCCGGAAUCAUUGGGUUUAAAGGGUCCGCAGGCGGUCGAUUAAGUC